rnacentral:lncRNA from 1 species
CCAAACAGAAGAGAAACACGACUAAUCUCGCCACCCUCGGAUGCAACCCAACCAAAUCAACAAGACGAACAACAUCAUCGAAACUACCCCCGAGGACACCACGAGCAUAUAAGACGACGCCUUCAAGAAGGGGAACGACAUCGGGGCGCCAUCGUCGUCCGAUCCGCGGGAUCCAGGGUUUCCCCUGAUGCUCGAAGAGGGGCACAGAAAGCGGCCAUGGCAGCGCC